AUCCAUGAUGAUUCGUCGAAUGUUAAGGUCAGCGGCACGUCGCCGGUCCCGGAUAGUAAAUAAUGAAGAGAAAUCAUUGUCCAUCCGUUGAUUGUGCCGACUAUGAUCAUGUUUAGCAUAACUGGAAUGAGAAACAGAUUACUUAUAAAUAUAUAAAAGUCCGCACACGAUUAGUGAUAUAAUAAAGAAUCAGUGCGAUGAAUAUCAGAAUCAAACUGUUAAAUUUAAUAUAAUGUAGGAUGGAAUAGAAAUGCAACUUUAAACGAUAAUAAAUACCUGACGUAAUAUCAAGAGUGAAAACUAACCAGUAAAAGCUGUUAGCCAGUGCAGCCAUUUUGAGCUGGGGGACCUAAGAGCUUCCGCUUCCGGUGAAAAAUGGAAACGAUUGAUAUCAC